GGGUAUAGUUCAGUUGGUAGAGUGCUUGCUUUGCAUGCAUGAGGUCCUGGGUUCAAUCCCCAGUACUUCCA
rnacentral:tRNA from 1 species